CUACGGGUCGCUCCAGUGAGGAAUAUUGGUCAAUGGGCGCAAGCCUGAACCAGCCAUCCCGCGUGAAGGAUGACUGCCCUAUGGGUUGUAAACUUCUUUUGUACACCAAGAAACGAUCUUACGUGUAAGAUUUUGACGGUAGUGUAUGAAUAAGCAUCGGCUAACUCCGUGCCAGCAGCCGCGGUAAGUACGGAGGAUGCAAGCGUUAUCCGGAUUCAUUGGGUUUAAAGGGUACGUAGGUGGCCCAAUAAGUCAGUGGUGAAAGUUUGCCGCUUAACGGUAAAAUUGCCAUUGAUACUGUUGGGCUUGAGUACAGUUGAGGUAGGCGGAAUGUGUAGUGUAGCGGUGAAAUGCUUAGAUAUUACACAGAACCCCGAUUGCGAAGGCAGCUUACUAAACUGUUACUGACGCUGAGGUACGAAAGCGUGGGGAGCGAACAGGAUUAGAUACCCCAGUAGUC
rnacentral:rRNA from 1 species